UCCAGCUGUGAAAGGGCUGAGCACAGGGAGCAUGCUGUGACAGGACCUGGGGUUUUGGCCGGGUCAGAGGCCUCUCUCACAAAGCUGUUGGAUGCUGAGGCCAGAACAUCAGAACCAGCUGGCUGGCUAACAGUGCUGAGCAUUGAAGUCGGGGCCUCCCACACGGUAGGGAAGCACUUUACCAGCUGAGCUACAUACCCAGCCCCAAAUUUUUCAAAGCCACCUUUGGGUAACCACAUGAAGACAGUCCUGGGAAGAAAUCUGGAAGAGGAAAGAGCAUCAGCGACCACAUCAAACAGGAUGCUCGCGCACCGGCCUGCACGACCACAUCAAACAGGAUGCUCGCGCACCAGCCUAAUUCUUCAAAGUGAUUGCAAACGGAGAAGAAAGCAAGGCAAAGAGAAGAAGCUCCCAGCGUUACCUAUGGAAUCCUGACGGGAAUCCUGACGGCUGUGGCUGUGCUGCCUCCCCCAACUCCACUCCCUGCAUUCUUUUUGCGCUCUAAAUUACCAAUUCUA